UACGAAGGGUGCAAGCGUUACUCGGAACUACUGGGCGUAAAGCGUGCGUAGGUGGUUUGUUAAGUCUGUUGUGAAAGCCCCGGGCUCAACCUGGGAAUGGCAAUGGAUACUGGCAAGCUAGAGUGCGGUAGAGGGUAGUGGAAUUCCCGGUGUAGCGGUGAAAUGCGUAGAUAUCUGGAGGAACACCGGUGGCGAAGGCGGCAUCCUGGACCGACACUGACACUGAGGAGCGAAAGCCAGGGGAGCAAACGGG
rnacentral:rRNA from 1 species